rnacentral:tRNA from 19 species
CGGAUGUAGCCAAGUGGAUCAAGGCAGUGGAUUGU